UCGUGAUAUGCUUGUCUCAAAGAUUAAGCCAUGCAUGUGUAAAUAUAACCGAUUAUACCGGAAAACUGCGAAUGGCUCGGUAAAUCAGUUAUAGUUUAUUUGAUAGUGUCCACUACUCGGAUAACCGUAGUAACACUAGAGCUAAUACGUGCGUAAAUCCCAACUUACGGAGGGACGUAUUUAUUAGAUAAAAGGCCGACCGGGUUUUCCCGACCAGCGGUGAAUCAUGGUAACUUCACGGAUUGCAUGGCCUUUGUGCCGGCGACGUGUCAUUCAAGUUUCUGCCCCAUCAUGGUUUCGACUGUAAUGUAUUGGAUUACAGUGCCGAUAACGGGUAGCGGAGGAUUAGGGUUCGAUUCCGGAGAGGGCGCCUGAGAAAUGGCGACCACAUCCAAGGAAGGCAGCAGGCGCGCAAAUUACCCAAUCCCAACUCAGGGAGGUAGUGACAAGAAAUAACAAUGCGGAGCCAAUGGUUCUGCAAUUGGAAUGAGUACAAUUUAAACCACUUAACGAGUACCUAUUGGAGGGCAAGUCUGGUGCCAGCAGCCGCGGUAAUUCCAGCUCCAAUAGCGUAUAUGUAAGUUGUUGCGAUUAAAAAGCCCGUAGCUGAACCUCGGGUAGCCCUGACGGUCCGCCUUUGGGUGAGUACUGUCGUGGGUUACCUUUCUGCUGGGGACCGUAUCCUUGCAUUUACUUGCCGGGAACGGGACCUAGCAAGGUUACUUUGAGUAAAAUAGAGUGUUCAAAGCAAGCUCUCGCUCUGAAUACACUAGCAUGGGAUAACACGACAUGACCGAUGGUCUAUCUUGUUGGCCUGUAGACCCGUUGGUAAUGGCUAAUAGGGACGGUCGGGGGCAUUCGUAUUUCGCUGUCAGAGGUGAAAUUCUUGGAUUUGCGAAAGACGAACUACUGCGAAAGCAUUUGUCAAGGACGCUUUCAUUAGUCAAGGACGAAAGUCGGGGGAUCGAAGACGAUUAGAUACCGUCGUAGUCUCGACCAUAAACGAUGCCAAUUAGAGAUCGGAGGGCGGUUUAUUUAUGCCUCCUCCGGCAUCUUCCGCGAAAGCAAAAUCUAUGGGCUUCGGGGGGAGUAUGGUCGCAAGGCUGAAACUUAAAGGAAUUGACGGAACGGCACCACCAGGCGUGGAGCUGCGGCUUAAUUUGACUCAACACGGGAAAACUUACCAGGUCCAGACAGAAUUAGGAUUUACAGAUUGAUAGCUCUUUAAAGAUUUUUUGGAUGGUGGUGCAUGGCCGUUCUUAGUUCGUGGAUUGAUUUGUCAGGUUGAUUCCGGUAACGGACGAGACCCCAACCUACUAACUACGCUCCAGUUGAUUCCCAGCUGGCCAGCUUCUUAGAGGGACUCUCGGUGUUGAGCCGAUGGAGGUGGGGCAAUAACAGGUCUGUGAUGCCCUUAGAUGUCCUGGGCCGCACGCGCGCUACACUGAUGCAUUCAACGAGCCUACCCUUGUCCGAGAGGUCUGGGUAAUCUGUGAAACUGCAUCGUGAUGGGGCUAGAUUAUUGCAAUUAUUGAUCUUCAACGAGGAAUGCCUAGUAAGCGCGAGUCAUCAACUCGCGUUGAUUACGUCCCUGCCGUUUGUACACACCGCCCGUCGCUCCUACCGAUUGGGUGUGCUGGUGAAAUGUCCGGAUUGGGUGGCUCCCCGGUCUCGGGGUCCUGCUCGAGAAGCGCAUUGAACCCUCUCACCUAGAGGAAGGAGAAGUCGUAACAAGGUCUCC
rnacentral:rRNA from 1 species